GACGAACGCUGGCGGCGUGCUUAACACAUGCAAGUCGAACGCUGAAGACCUGGCUUUUGUGGGUGUGGGUGUGUGGAGCACGGGUGUGUAACGCGUGAGUACCCUCCCCUCUUCUUUGGGAUCACGCGCGAAAACGGGUGCUAAUCCUGGAUGUUCACUGGUCUUCGCGUGGGGGUUGGUGGGUAUGGUUGUUCUGGUAUGGAAUGGGCUCGCGGCCUCUCAGCGGGGUGGUGGGGUGAUGGCCUACCAAGGCGUGGACGGGUAGCCGGACUGGGAGGGUGACCGGUCACAUUGGGACUGAGAUCCGGCCCAGACUCCUACGGGAGGCAGCAGUGGGGAAUAUUGCACAAUGGGCGAAAGCCGGAUGCAGCGACGCCGCGUGAGGGAUGGAGGCCUUCGGGUUGGAAACCUCUUUCGCUCAUGGUCAAGCCGCAACUGUGGGUUGUGGUGAGGGUAGUGGGUAAAGAAGCGCCGGCUAACUACGUG
rnacentral:rRNA from 1 species